UACGUAGGUGGCAAGCGUUGUUCGGAUUUACUGGGCGUAAAGGGCGCGUAGGCGGCCAGCGCAAGUCAGUUGUGAAAUCUCCGGGCUUAACUCGGAACGGUCAACUGAUACUGCGCGGCUAGAGUGCGGAAGGGGCAACUGGAAUUCCUGGUGUAGCGGUGAAAUGCGCAGAUAUCAGGAGGAACACCGAUGGCGAAGGCAGUGUUCUGGGCCAGUACUGACGCUGAGGAGCGAAAGCGUGGGGAGCAAACAGG
rnacentral:rRNA from 1 species